GUGAUUUGAAAUAAAACAAAAAAUGGGGAUUAGCAUGGCCACAGCACACCCUAAUGUAGGAGGGCACACACGGACAGCUUUGGAACCCUGAUCGCUGGAUAAAUUUGGCAUGGCUACGCCUAAUCCAAAUAUACACGCCCCUUUACACAUACUGACUUUCUGAUUCUUCUGCAAUUCACUCUGCAUGACUCCUCGUGCUCCCAAUGGGGCGGCCCAGUGCUACCUCACCCACUUGGUCAACCUUCCUGACCUGGCAAUGUGACUCAGUCCUGGCCGGCAGCACUCUCGGGGAGCUUGCCCUCUGUCAGCACCCAUCCAUUCUGACCCACAGUGCUCUUCUAAAAUAUCUCCUGCUUAAGCAUGGUAUCAUUACGCAUAGCCAUAACAUGUCUCUGCUUUCAAAUUCCAGCUUCUUCAAAGGAAAAUGCCGUUACCUUUAAGAUCCUUUUGUUGUUGUUAAAGUCUGUUUUCCGUGACUCAAAGUCACCUCCCAGGGAUUUGCUACUGCACUCCAUCUAAUUCACCACCUAAUGCACUGCAUGGCGCUGCCACAUGACCACACGACUCUCUGCAGCUGGCCUUCCAACUAGACCAAAAUGGAAGGGCUCUACAUCUCACCCCUCCUGCACCUGACCUCCGGCUGCCGCUAAUUCUAUUAGCUUCAUCUCACUCUGGCAGACUUUCCCGGCUUGAUUUUAACCUAGCCUCUACCUGUAUUAUAUUUGUUUUAGGUUUACAUUAAAACAGGACUUUGGUGAGCAUGUGAUGUCAAGACACCUUCGUUCUACCUGGAAGACAAUGACGUUAUGUGACACUGAGGAGGAGGGUGUGUACUUCAAGACCAGCAGACAGAAUGAGAGCUUGUUCCCUGUAUGUGGGGCAGGUUGAUACAGCAAGAGGGGGGUGUGGGUGUGUGGGGAGCGCGGGUACGGUGCUGAAAAUCACCGCAGCAGAGAGAGGCUGGCUUGGGCUGAGUGCUGUGCCUCUGCGACUCAUGUUGUUUGCCCCUACACACUUCUACCCUCCCUUCCCUCACCUCUGCCCCACUUCAGCUGAGAACCGCUGCUCUAGAUUGCUUUCCUGUGAGGGCCUCCUAGGAGACAGAGUUCUUAUGUGGCAACAUGGCACCUUUGAUUGAAAGUGAGUAACACAGAUCCUGCCCUCUGAGGAAACAAGAACUAACCAUACCACGGUAGAUUUCCACAGAUGGAAAAUGCACAGAGAGAAGCAGAACAAACUCAAGGUAAAACGAUAGGGCUUUCCUGUGUGUGUCUUUAAGACGCAUCCUUUGCUCCCUCACAUAUGGAAUAGGGAAUAUGAAGUUCUAAAAGCUAGAGCUAUAUUAUACCUCACUCAACAGUUAGCUCAUAAAGUAUUCUUAUUUUUCACUAGUGGAUUGGGAUAUGAUUUCAGCCUCAGUGACUAACUUUUUCCUCCAAGUAACUGCUUUAAGAUAGGAAGUAAAAAUGGUAAUUAAUACUAACUCUUUUCAUCAACAAGAGGCCAUGGGUCAAAAAAAUAUUUUGGUAAGGUCAGUGGAUUACUUCUGUUUAGCUUGAUACGGUAAUCCAGCAAGUAGAUAAACAAAACUCAAGGGUAUUUUCUCAACUAUAGAAACAUCAUCUCUCUCUUAAUGAAAUUGCAUACUGUGAACUAAUGAAAUGAGAGAAUUGUCAACAAAAAAUUUUGGUUGAUUGACUUAAUAAGGUGGAAGUAGGCCAUACUUAAAAAAUCCCCAAAUAUGGAACAUAUUAGAGAGGGGGGAAAAAACUUGACUUAAGAAAUAAUUCAUAAGGAAAAGUGUGCUCUAAUAGAAUAGAUUUCAAGAAAACAACUUUAAUAACAUAAAGAUGAGUUUCAUGAGAAUAUGGACACUAAUGUAAAUGGGAGAGUGUACAUGCUAAGGUUGUAUGUAAAAUGUGUACAUAUAGAAAAGUGUCAUUUGGGGUAAAACUAGAAAAUAUUUCCUUAAUUCUUAAGUUUCGCUGUCAGCAAGGAAAGAACAUACCUUUCCAUACCUCUUGAAAAUCAUCUGAGGAAAUAUGUGAAUUUUGAUUAAAUACUGAGAGGUAAUGAAAUAUGGAUUAGUUGGGUUUUGUGCUUGGUUAUAUAAUAACAUAUGUAAUCUAGGGUGAGUCACAAUCUCUCUGAGAGACAUAUCUUUGAAGUGAGAAAGUUGGGCCCGAAACAUGGGUAAGGUUCCUUGAAGCAUUUCUCAAAUUAAAGAAUACUCUGAAGGUCUACUCUACACAGGACAGGUGUAUAUAGUCACUUACAGUACCACGUAGGACCAUUCCACCCUAUCUCUACUUCCGGCUACACAGUCUCUACAUGCAUUCUGAAAGUGCACAAACAUUUUUAGAUUGCCAGAGAAUCUUGGCAGAUUGUGAAAAUUAGUUCACUAAAAAGGCAUUCUUAGUGAUUUUGGGACGUAAGGGUGGAGACAGCAUUUCCAGACAAUUAAACCUUGGUCCAAGAAAUAAUUUCAUGGUGACAAGUUUACCUUACAAAAUUGUUUCUUAGUGAUUUGGUGGUUAGACCAAGCUUGCGUUCAGAAAAAGGUCAUUUGGGGAGGUCCCUGUAAAAGACUUCAAAACUCACAAACUUUGACUCUUUGUCAGAUCACUUUGUUCAUAUUUUAAAUAAUAUGCGACAAACCAAUCAGAACAUUAGCUAUAGCUAGACAGACUAAGUACUGGGUUACAUGUUAACAUGGCUGGUAGAAUCAACAAAUCAUGUAUGACAGUCCAAUGUUUGUAAGAGAAAUCUAGGUUGCUAAUUCUGCCACUUGUUUCCCUCUAGAUGGCCCUUAAGAAAAGAGACCUACCAGUUGUAAACCUUCUAAUAUAGAAGGGCCUUCGGCAAGUGAAUAUCGGUUUCCUCUCCUUCCCACCCCUCUUCACUGGCAUCAGUUCCUUCUUUUGCUUUCACAUGUUAGUGCUCUCUCACAGUAUGUAAAACAGGAAAAGACCAAUUCAGAAAGCUCACUGCCAUCUACAUAAAUCAAAGCUCUAAUGAUCUAAAGAGGAUGUGAAAUGAGAAAAGCAGAAAAGGAAAAGAGCUGGUUGAAGGCUAAGCUGUCCUGUCAUUUAUGUAUGCACAUGAUACGACAGUAAUAAAAGACUUUAAACCUGCUGA